rnacentral:tRNA from 1 species
UCCCUGAUAGCUCAAUUGGUAAAGAAUCCACCUGCAAUGCAGGAGACCCAGGUUCGAUUCCUGGGUAGGGAA